CUUACCAGGUCAAGACAUGGGCGUGAUUGACAGGCUAAUGACUUUUCUUGAUUCCAUGGAUGGUGGUGCAUGGUCGCACUUAGUUGGUGCAGUGAUUUGUCAGGUUUAUUCCGGUAACGAACGAGACCUCGGCCUUGUAAAUAGCUAUGCUGCUUACAGGGACAUUGGCGGCUACGCUAAGGAAGCUCGAGGCAAUUGCAGAUCUGGAAUGCCCUUAGAUGUCCUGGGUCGCACGCGUGCUACAAUGACGCCACGAACGAGCUUGCGUGAUGAAAGUUACGCAUAAUCAGCAGUCGGCGUCUUAAGGGAUAGUCUCUUGUAACUGUGGGACUCCAACUAGGAAUGCCUCGUAAGCACAAGUCAACAUCUUGUGUUGAUUACGUCCCUGCUCUUUGUACACACCGCCCGUCGCUCCUACCGAUCGAGUGUUUAGGUGAAUUUGAUGGACGUAAGGAAGUCAAAUAAACCUGAGCACUAGAGAAGAGAGUCGACAUCUCAAU
rnacentral:rRNA from 1 species